CUCGCGUGUUUUUUUGUUCUUUACGUUUUGAGUUUUUUUUAGGGGUUUAUCAUUGUAAAAUCUUUGAAUUUUCUCUCUUUAUCAAUGCCUUUUCAGCGAUUCUUUUGUUUUUUCUUGUGUGAAGUUCGUUGUGCCAUUCAACAUUUGAAAUUUUCGCUUUGAGGUUCGUUGCCUGUUGUUUCUAAAAAUUUGCAGUUUUGGUGAUUUGUGCCCUUUGUUUUUAGUUUCAACGUUUUGACGGGUUUGGGUUGUUUUAGUGUAAGAUUUUUUUUUUCCUUUUGGCAUAGUUAUUCCAUAUUCCGCAAUACGGGUAAAAUGCCUUUUGUGAAGUUCCUGUUCUGCAGCCUUUUUCUUCUUUUCUCCUUAUAUAUCUUAUUGCAGAGUGGCAAGUAUUUAGUUGAUAUAUGAAGGCAUUUUUUGUACAAGCUAAAUUUGUAAAACGUGUGUUGUAAUUUGACAUAUGCAUGUGAAUACCUUGGACCUUUUGGCACGUUUUUCCAGUAGCUAUUUUCUGGGGGUUUUCAUCAUUUUCUUUGUGUAAAUCACAUGUCUCCGUAAGUUGUAGCCAUUCUUGAUUGACAGUUUGCGCGUAUUUCUCGUUUCUUUUCUUUUUUUGGAAAUUUUCGAUACCCUUUGACCAACUAUUUCCUAAAAUUUUGCACUGUGUUUUGAAUAUUUUUGAAUAUUUUGUAGAAAAAACAUAUUCUUUGCUUUGCUAGGCUUUUUACUUCCUUUCACUUUUGGCUAUCAAACAUUUUGUUGAAAUCUGGUGGGGUAUUCAAAUUUCAAGUUCAUCAGUGCUACAUGUUGUUCACUAGCUAUGUUGUCUGUCCCUUUUUUAAAAUGCAAAUGCUGUGUGUUCCCGCCCUUUUCCUUUAUUAACCAACUUUUUGUUUGUAUCUGGAUUGUUGAUUUCUUGGGUUCUGUAUGUAGGACAGUAUGUAGGAUUGUUACAGGAAUGUCUAUCGUUUUUUCUUUUACAAUCUUUUAAUUUUUUUAUUCACAUUUGUAAAUGCAAAUUUGUGAAAGAUUUCAUCUUUUCUUGGUUAAUUCUUUGUUGGUUG